rnacentral:rRNA from 1 species
CCAAUAGCGUAUAUUAAAGUUGUUGCAGUUAAAAAGCUCGUAGUUGAAUUUCGGGAUUGGCGUGUCGGUCGUGCCUUAAGGGGUAUGAACUGGUGUCGUCGAUUUCUCACCUUCUGGAGAAACGCGAUGCCCUUAAUUGGGUGUCGUGCGGAACCAGGACCUUUACCUUGAAAAAAUUAGAGUGUUUAAAGCAGGCAUUUUUUGCUCGAAUACAUUAGCAUGGAAUAAUAGAAUAGGACGGUUGGUUCUAUUUUGUUGGUUUCUAGGAUCAACGUAAUGAUUAAUAGGGAUAGUUGGGGGGAUUAGUAUUCAAUUGUCAGAGGUGAAAUUCUUGGAUUUAUUGAAGACUAACUACUGCGAAAGCAUUUGCCAAGGAUGUUUUCAUUAAUCAAGAACGAAAGUUAGGGGAUCGAAGACGAUCAGAUACCGUCGUAGUCUUAACCAUAAACUAUGCCGACUAGGAAUCAGACGAUGUUAAUUUUUUAAUGACUCGUUUGGCACCUUACG